rnacentral:rRNA from 1 species
ACGAUGAAGCCCAGCUUGCUGGGUGGAUUAGUGGCGAACGGGUGAGUAACACGUGAGUAACCUGCCCUUGACUCUGGGAUAAGCGUUGGAAACGACGUCUAAUACCGGAUACGAGCUUCCACCGCAUGGUGAGUUGCUGGAAAGAAUUUUGGUCAAGGAUGGACUCGCGGCCUAUCAGCUUGUUGGUGAGGUAANGGCUCACCAAGGCGACGACGGGUAGCCGGCCUGAGAGGGUGACCGGCCACACUGGGACUGAGACACGGCCCAGACUCCUACGGGAGGCAGCAGUGGGGAAUAUUGCACAAUGGGCGAAAGCCUGAUGCAGCAACGCCGCGUGAGGGACGACGGCCUUCGGGUUGUAAACCUCUUUUAGCAGGGAAGAAGCGAAAGUGACGGUACCUGCAGAAAAAGCACCGGCUAACUACGUGCCAGCAGCCGCGGUAAUACGUAGGGUGCAAGCGUUGUCCGGAAUUAUUGGGCGUAAAGAGCUCGUAGGCGGUUUGUCGCGUCUGCUGUGAAAUCCCGAGGCUCAACCUCGGGUCUGCAGUGGGUACGGGCAGACUAGAGUGCGGUAGGGGAGAUUGGAAUUCCUGGUGUAGCGGUGGAAUGCGCAGAUAUCAGGAGGAACACCGAUGGCGAAGGCAGAUCUCUGGGCCGCUACUGACGCUGAGGAGCGAAAGGG